CAGGCAGACCCUGCAACUCUACCAAAAGGAACGUGGGUCAUAUUGGACUUGAAAAACCAGACUAAGUCUGUUUGCGACAUCAGCCAGCGAGUCUUGCUUCAUGCAUGGAAGGCCCAUUUUGUGCCUCCAGAGAAACCUAACCCCCAGCUGUACUAAUGAAUGGAGGGAUAUUAAAGAUAUUAUCCUGAGACCAUCCACAGCAUGCUAUGGCCUUCAGUUAUUUUAAUGACUCCACUGUUCAGUCCAACAGAUGGCAUCAACACACUGCAACAAGAGGGCUCAGGUAAGUGUUGACUGGCUGCACAAACACUAAAUACUUGAGCUUAAACCUGCAAUGAUUUUUUUUG